rnacentral:rRNA from 1 species
GGCCUGGCCGGGCGGUCCGUCUUUGGCGAGUACUGUCUUGUUGUCGGGUCUUCCUUCUGGUGAACCAGUAUGCCCUUUAUUGGGUGUGUUGGGGAGCCAGGACCAUUACCUUGAAAAAAUUAGAGUGUUUAAAGCGGGCUAUUGCUUGAAUAGAUUAGCAUGGAAUAAUAGAAUAGGACGUUGUGGUUCUAUUUUGUUGGUUUCUAGGACCACCGU